AUUGAACGCUGGCGGCAGGCCUAACACAUGCAAGUCGAGCGAGGGGAGGACGGGGGAGGAAGGGAGGGGGACUGCCGGAUAGAGGGGGAUAAGUAGGGGAAACGGUAGCUAAUAACGCAUAAUAGCGGAUAAGCCAUAUGGGAUUAGAUAGUAGGUGAGGUAAUGGCUCACCUAGGCGACGAUCCCUAGCUGGUCUGAGAGGAUGAUCAGCCACACUGUGACUGAGACACGGCCCAGACUCCUACGGAGGCAGCAGUGGGGAAUCUUGCACAAUGGGCGCAAGCCUGAUCCAGCCAUGCCGCGUGUAUGAAGAAGGCCCUCGGGUUGUAAAGUACUUUCAGUCGGGAGGCGUUACCGACAGAAGAAGCCCCGGCUAACUCCGUGCCAGCCGCCGCGGUAAUUC
rnacentral:rRNA from 1 species